UACGUAGGGGGCAAGCGUUGUCCGGAUUUACUGGGCGUAAAGAGCGCGCAGGCGGUCGUUCAAGUCGCGUGUGAAAGCCCCCGGCUCAACUGGGGAGGGUCACGCGAUACUGAUCGACUGGAAGGCAGGAGAGGGUAGUGGAAUUCCCGGUGUAGUGGUGAAAUGCGUAGAUAUCGGGAGGAACACCAGUGGCGAAGGCGACUACCUGGCCUGUUCUUGACGCUGAGGCGCGAAAGCUAGGGGAGUAAACGGG
rnacentral:rRNA from 1 species